rnacentral:rRNA from 1 species
AUUGAACGCUGGCGGAAUGCUUUACACAUGCAAGUCGAACGGUAGAGGGGGCAACCCCUUGAGAGUGGCGAACGGGUGAGUAAUAUAUCGGAACGUGCCCAGUCGUGGGGAUAACGUAGCGAAAGUUACGCUAAUACCGCAUACGAUCUAAGGAUGAAAGCGGGGGGACUCGCAAGAGCCUCGCGCGAUUGGAGCGGCCGAUAUCAGAUUAGGUAGUUGGUGGGGUAAAGGCUCACCAAGCCAACGAUCUGUAGCUGGUCUGAGAGGACGACCAGCCACACUGGAACUGAGACACGGUCCAGACUCCUACGGGAGGCAGCAGUGGGGAAUUUUGGACAAUGGGCGCAAGCCUGAUCCAGCAAUGCCGCGUGCA